UGAGGAAUCUUCCACAAUGGACGAAAGUCUGAUGGAGCAACGCCGCGUGCAGGAAGACGGCCUUCGGGUUGUAAACUGCUUUUGUAUGGGAAGAUUAUGACGGUACCAUACGAAUAAGGAUCGGCUAACUACGUGCCAGCAGCCGCGGUAAUACGUAGGAUCCAAGCGUUAUCCGGAAUCACUGGGCGUAAAGCGUGCGUAGGCGGCUCGUCAAGUGCAGUGCGAAAUUCCCCCGCUCAACGGGGCGAACUGUAUUGCAGACUGGCGGGCUGGAGGCUGGUAGAGGCAAGUGGAAUUACUGGUGUAGCAGUGAAAUGCGUAGAUAUCAGUAGGAACACCAAUGGCGAAGGCAGCUUGCUGGGCCACGCCUGACGCUGAGGCACGAAAGCGUGGGGAGCGAACCGG
rnacentral:rRNA from 1 species